rnacentral:rRNA from 1 species
AUUGAACGCUGGCGGCAGGCCUAACACAUGCAAGUCGAGCGGCAGCGGGAAAGUAGCUUGCUACUUUUGCCGGCGAGCGGCGGACGGGUGAGUAAUGCCUGGGAAAUUGCCCAGUCGAGGGGGAUAACAGUUGGAAACGACUGCUAAUACCGCAUACGCCCUACGGGGGAAAGCAGGGGACCUUCGGGCCUUGCUCGAUUGGAUAUGCCCGGGUGGGAUUAGCUAGUUGGUGAGGUAAUGGCUCACCAAGGCGACGAUCCCUAGCUGGUCUGAGAGGAUGAUCAGCCACACUGGAACUGAGACACGGUCCAGACUCCUACGGGAGGCAGCAGUGGGGAAUAUUGCACAAUGGGGGAAACCCUGAUGCAGCCAUGCCGAGUGUGUGAAGAAGGCCUUCGGGUUGUAAAGCACUUUCAGCGAGGAGGAAAGGUUGAUGCCUAAUACGUAUCAACUGUGACGUUACUCGCAGAAGAAGCACCGGCUAACUCCGUGCCAGCCGCCGCAGUAAAAC